rnacentral:lncRNA from 1 species
CCAUGAGUAAACUGAAUUGAAAUAUAUUAGACCAGUCAGUAUUUUUCUAUAUGUUGGUUGUCAGUUUACACGAUUAGGUGCCAUUUGUAACCUGAGCUUGAUUUUAUUAGCUCAGGUUACAAGUGGCACCUAAUCAUUGCAUGCUUUUAUGUUGUACACUUAAAGGAACACUAUAGGGUCAGGAACACAAAUGUGUUCAAUUAAAACUCACCUUCAUUCCAACGACGUGCGGGUCUGCUGGCACUAGCUCCGCCCCCCUCGGUGACAUAAUCAGAAUUCGAUUUUUAGCCAAUCCAAUGGUUUGGCAUGGGGAAAGCAUUGGAUUGGCAAGGAGGCAGGAUGGAUGCGGGCCCAAACGCCGGCUUGGCCAAUCAGCACCUCCUCAUAGAGAUGCUUUGAAUCAAUGCAUCUCUGAGGAAAAUUCAGCGUCACCAUGCAGAGCAUGGAGACGCUGAACUGCACUGCUGCCUACUGUGCAACACUGAGCAAGGAAGUACCUCCAGUGGCCAUCUGUAGAGUGGCCACUUGGAGGUGUCUCUAGGGGCAAUGUAAACAGUGUUUGCAUUAAAAUGCCUGCAUAUAAUGAUUAUACUCACCAGAACAACUACAUUAAACUGUAGUUGUUCUGGUGACUAUAGUGUCUCUUUAAAAGAACAGUGUAGCUGUAUGACUUUCGCCCUAUCGGAAAGUAUUUAAUCAAGUUUGAUUGCCGGCCAAGGAGAGAGCCAGGAGACUCGUGGCAAGGGAAUAAAGGUAAGUAAACUGCCUAUUUAUGGGGGGGCAGAGGAUCUAAAUAUUCAUGGGUUUUUUAUAUUCUUUAUUUUUGCAUGCAUGACAAGACAUACAUGCCUGUAGAGACAUUUUUGCCAGAAUAUAUAAGAUGGUAAACGUCAUAGGUGUGGCAUAAAAUGUCAUGGGUUAACAAUGCAGUUUUUAGAAUAGUAAAACAAGGUAAAGUAUCAUGCUUGGUAGUAUAUGGAUAAACAUCAUGGGUUAGUACAAGUAAACAGUAGACGGCACGUUUUUAAAGGUUGAUACGAGAGAAAACAUCAAUUCAUGUAAGAAAGAAUGUCGCUUAUAGCAGUGUGACUAGUACGGUAGGGCCCUCGUAGCGGCCUGCGCAUCUGCUUUUGAAAGCCAGUACUUUCAUAGUAAGAUUCAAUAGACUUAGAGUAACUGAGUCUAAGGUGGUGCAUGGCCAUCCAUUUAGGACAGAUAUGUGACCAUCAGUGUCGCGUGACAGUUGUUGGUGACUAAAGUAAACUUAAACAAAUGUGUAACUGACAACCACUGGGAGGCAGGUAGGUAGGUAGGAGCCCCUCAGUGCAACAACAUGUCUGUUAGGAGAGUUUGUGCGAUGAGACAAGAUCUAUGGGUGGAUAAUACUAUCAUAUAGAUUGCGUGUAGACCGAGCUUUGAAUGCAGUUGUUUAAAAGACCUGCGAUGGGUUCUGGCUGUAAUCUGGUAUCAUUUAUCUAUCUUAUGUACCCCUAAUUAAGGGGGUAGCGGUAGCUUGGGGGGAGAGGAGGGGUGGAGAGUUGAAGUGCCAUUUAAUAGGGUGCAGAUAUCUGAUUGGCCCUGAUCUCUGCUCUUGGCUGCUAGGCUUUUGGGAUCUUCUGCCUAUUGCUGGUGUUUCCGGCGGCCUUGUUGUGAAAACGAUCCCGGCACCGUGAGCACCACUUAGUAGCUCCUCUAGGCCACAGAGCGUCGGCGUGCGAUAGGCCCCAGACUUGCGCUUUUGCUAGAGUACUUUUUGACUUGGAAGAAAGGCAUCGGUUGGUGCAGUUUGUUGUGCAGAAGCCAAACCGAUGACUAUGGAGGUGGGAUUGGAUAAUGUUCACCAGAUAUCACUGAGAUUGGGAAAUGCACGUUUUUAUUUCUGACCCCAUAGUGAUCCUUUAACCAUAUAUAAAAACAUACAUUUUCUAUGGCCAGACAAGCCCAAAAAUAUGCUCUGUUUUGAUUCACUGAACUAAAACAUAUUUUGUGUUGCAGCUCAGCGAUUUUUUUUUUUUUUGAGUUCCAAUUUUCAUUAUGAAAUGAAGCUCUAGUAACCCCACAUUGCUUCCUCUGAUAUUAACAGUUUGGUAAAUGAACCAAAAAGAAUGCUGUGGAACCUCAAUAUGUUAGUGCUUCUCUCCUUAAGUGGUCUCCUGGAGCAUUCAUUUUGUUUUUUGGAUUUCAACUAUUUACCGGAUGACUGAAUCAGGGUUACAUUGCACCCAUUAAGUGUGAGCACAACUUUUUAAUUUUUUCAGGAGUGUGCUAGUAACUUAAAUUUUUUCCACAUUGACUGGUAAAUGAACCAGUGACAAGAAAAAUCAAGCUUGUUGCAAGAAUGCCCUAACGAUGCAGUCUCAGUUGUGGCUAGCUUCCAAAUUGAGCCAAUCCAUAUUCAGUACAUGAAAGGCUAUUCAACAGCCCCCUUAAUGGCAAUGUGUUAGGCCAGGGAUUAUAUAGAUGUUCUAAAUUGACAUGAUUCUAAACUACUUUUGAUUUGUGAAAACACAAGAAAAUAGAAACACCUGGAAAGCAGUCCAGUAUGUAAUAUAACUUUUUUUUGUGCAUAUACCUAAUUUCAUAGAAAGCUACUGACCUUUUUGAUUGGCUGAUCAUUUUUUUCUUAAUAUUUGCAGCAUUUUUACGUAACUGUCUCAGAAAUAGAGAGUGAAAUAGAGAUUUAGAUGUCUGCCCCAAAGCUGUGACAAAGAAGUUAGUGUUGGUAGAUUUUUACUUAAAAGGGACAGUCCAAGAACCAUAACCACUACAGUUUAUUGUAGUUGUAAUGGCAAAACUACUCUAUGGUUGAAGACCUAUUUAUUUUUAAAAUUAGGAACAGUUCUUCCUCAUUAUCCAUCCGGGAUAUAUUUUUCAGCCUUUUGUCGCCAAAGUGAAACAUGCUGAAUUAGUGGACUCACGAUUUGUCAACAACUUUGAAAAAAAGUAAGUAUUUCUGCAUACUGGAUGCGUGCACUUAGUCUAUCAUUAUGAAGAAAUAACAAAAAAUUUGCAUUGAAUGUCCAGAUCAACAUGCUUAGGGUAACUUGGACAGUCUAGUAAAGUACUUUAGUUGUAUAAAGCAUGUGCUUCCUUUCUAUAGGAAAAAUUAAAUCAUAUCUGGCUAAUUUAUGGCAUUGUAGAGGCAAAAUAAUUUUAAAGGAAGAUCUCUGAGAUGUCAUGGCAACCAAGGUAAAGUGCACCUACAUGAUUCAAAAUGGUAUCAACUUUAAAUGCUUGAGCGUAAAUGGCAAUCCUAAAUAUGAAUUUUGGAAUCUACAGACAAUAAAAAUCUGAAACCUCUAUAGCCUCCUUUUAGUUUUAAUAUUUAUUUCACAUGCUGUGGGAGUAUUUAUUUUUUUUUUUUUAAUAUUUUAAAAAAGGAAUGUAGUAGACUUUGACUUAACAAAUAUAUUGCCAUUAAAAUAAGAAGUAUUUUACUGCACAUUUAGAUGGAUUUUCCACCUUCAAAACAAAUUAAACUCCCUGAAGUUGUUUGGGGGGGGUUAGAUUCCCUGUGUGCUGCCUUACCUUAAUGUGUUGCACAAUUUUUGAUAGAUUUUUUUUUUAUUUUUUUAACACCCACGUUGGUCCCCUGGUGGGAAUCUUCACUGUCUUCUGCCUCCUCUACUCCACUGUUGAAAGAGGGCAGGAAAGGAAGCCGUGGGUGUUGAGUGUCAACUGACACACUUCGCCUAUAACUGGCCACCCGUUCUAAAUAAUUACAGAUUUGUAGUUACACAUUACUUGUCCACUCAGUAAAUAAAACAAAUAUAUUUUUCUGGGUUGUUAAGUUUCUAUACAUUUUAAUUGAAAUUAUGAGUGGUUUAUAUAUUUUAUGGGAUUUCUUGUCACUUAAAAAAGACAAUUUUUUGAAGACUAUCUGAAACGAUUACAUAUUUAAAACAAACAAAUUACUCCCAUUGUUUUAAUUAUUGCAACUUACACAUAUGGAGAAGUCUUAAGUAGCAUUUGUGUCUUUUUACAUUUCAGUGUUUUAUUAGAGGUGUCUGACGUGUUUUCAGUAGAGUGUCUCCAUCCAAAAUGAAUAGGAUUUUGAAAUAUGUGUGUGUGUAUAUGUAUAUAAAAUGUUUUUUCAUGCUCCAUUUUACAAUCUGCCUACUUAAAAAGCAUUGGUUAAAUGGAAACAAAUAUUUCUUUGUCAAAUAACACUGCCAAUUUAUUUUCACCUUGUUAUCCUGCUGUUCCUUUGAUUAAUUGAAUAUAUGUGGGAAAAUAAAAAUAAAUAAAAGCUGCAACUCUUCUCAUCUUUAGCAUGUGGCUAUUAAAGGGAGUCCAUGGGACUGCCCCUGAUUUCCACACCUCUUCUGUGAUAAGCUACCAUCAGUGCAACUCAAUAUACAAGACAGGAUGAGUUUCUGCACAUUAGCUGCCUAGGUGAUCUAUGGAAAGAACCUGGUAUAACCACUGCUAACAGGUGUCCCUUAAUCAACUAAACCCAGAAACUGUGUGUGGUUUAUUUGUAUUUCUUUUUUUAAACAGUCUUCUCCCCUUAUUUAUUUUCCUGGUGUAUCUCCUUGCUAACAUUUAUAAAACCAGAGAUUCCCUACAUUAAUCUCAGCAGUCAUUUCAUAUGCAUCCUUUUAUGUCCUUUGUCUUUGCUUGUUUGUAUGGGAGAUGUUACAUAGUUGCAGUUAAACCUGGCUGCUGAACAUCUGUGGUCUAAAAAGUGUUUUCUGUGCAACAAAGAUGGUGAAUUCAGAGCAUUCAUGGUUAACUGUACUCAUACUGUAGAUGUUGUUGGGUGGUUAAUUUUCAGGAGCCUGGUGGAAAGAUGGAGGAAUGCAGCCCCUCACACAGGAAGUCUUACCUAGUCAGAGGAGGGCUGUGGGAUUGUUCUCUAAAGCAUUGGGUUACUAUGGAAACACCAGAACGUACAGUAGAUAUCCUUCAAAGCAAAGGGAAUUUAAAUACUUUUUUUUGAAGGCGCCAGUUACUGAACCAGCAAAUUAUAUAAUUGUUGUGGGAACAUAUAUGUGGGGGGCAGUGUAAGUAUUCUAUUAAUGAAGCAAAGUUAUUGGGAGUGAUUUGCAUGGAAACCUAUAAAGCUGUAAGAAGCAUUGGAUUGAAGAUGCAUGAUGGGUGAUAGAGCACAAAAAAAUUACUGUUAAGUUCGAUUGGCUUUCUGUGUGAAUGUAAUGUAUUGAUAUGCACAAAGAAACUAUGUACAUGUGAGAUGAGAGCAGAGACUAUGCAGGUUCUUUUUUGGGUUCCACAGUAGAUAUGUGUUUGUGUGGGGGUUGGCAGUGAAGUUUAGAUUAUGUAUAGUGGGUGUAUAAUUGUUUAAUUUUUUAAAACCUUUUUUACACCUGGGAAUAUUUUUAUACAAAAUUUAACUAUUCAGAAAAAAAUCUUUUAUUUUCCCAAUAUAUUUGUUACUUUUCAAUAGAAUAUUGACAUAAAAAUAAAUCCAUGUACGCAACUGUUAAUUUUUAUUUUUGUUCAUAAUUUUGUUCAUUCUGGGUUUCCUCUAGAUUACCCUUUAAGAUAGCCAAAGCUACCAGAAAGCAUUAUAUGGGAUUGGGUUGUUGACAUGGCUGCAAUAACCCCCAUUGUACAGCGCUACGGAAUUUGUUGGCGCUAUAUAAAUAAUUAAAAAAAAUAAUAAUAACCAGAGCCCAUGCAAACAGGCCUCCCUCUCCCUCCUAAAAUGCAAUCUUUUAAGGCUCUAGUUUAAUUUGAAGACUGCCAACAUACUGUUCUUUAGUGAAGUCUUUAUUCUUCAAAUCAGGCCAUGGUAGAUGUGAGACAGGCCUACUUGAAAGCUAACUUUUUUUAUUUUUACAACUACUUGACUAUGCAAAUUGUGUAUGCACAAUUCCCAGAGUAUAUUCCCAUACCCUAGAAUUGCGUAAACACAAUUUUAACAAUUGCAAGUUAAAUUUGUUUAUCGCAAACAUUUAGUUUCCAGUUGCUACCCAUACAGCAGUCAGUCCUACUGUUAUAGCACCGCCUCUCCUGUGUCCCCAGCAGAACAGACUGGUGGGGAGAUAAAUAGAAAGCAGACUAUGCUUUCAGUGCAGGUCUGCUUCUCUGGCUGGGUACAGCUUUCUGAUGCUUGUUCCUAGUCAGAGACCAGACUGAAGCCUUUAGAGGGGUCUGCACCAACCUAGUGGUGCAGACCUGUACUGACAGCCCACCGCACCACUAGGGAAACUGAACCAACAUAAGCCUGUCCAGUGUCAUUCCCCCGUACUCACUCACAAAUACCUCACAUACACGAAACACAGCCACACCAUAAGCACAACACACAAAGACCACAAGCAGCCCCUUCCUAUGCACACAUUCUAUUACUUAGAAUUUAUAUUAAUGUGACAAGAUUAUAGAUUUUAUUUUUGACAGUUUGGACAAAGCGUCUGUCACUUUCUGGGGUAUUUGCAUAUAUUGCACAGAUCCCCGAUGGUGACAUCACUGCUUGGGAGGGUGAAGUGGCCUAGGGCUGUAGAUAUACUUACCUGAUGUUACAUAGAAAAUGACGGCAAAUAAGAACCAUUUGGCCCAUCUAGUCUGCCAAGUUUUCGAAAUACUUUCAUUAGUCCCUGGCCUUACUACUGUUUUCCUGACACUAACCCUCAGGGUCCCCCUCCCGCUGGGAUGAAGGGGUGACCUCUCCUCCCCCGCCGACGUCAGCUCCUGUGUGGAGCAGAAUGCAUAUGCGCGGCAAGAGCCUCGCGCAUUCAAACAGUCCAUAGGAAAGCAUUUCGCAAUGCUUUCCUAUGGACGUUCUACAAGCUGAAUACGAUUUUCGCAUGCAGCGUUGCAGAAGCGCCUCUAGCGGCUAUCAGGAAGACAGCCACUAGAGGCUGGAUUAACCCUGCAAUGUAAACUGCUAUGUUUACAUCUGAAGGGUUAAAACCAGGGGGACCUGGCACCCAGACCACUUAAUUGAGCUGAAGUGGUCUGGGUGCCUAUAGUGGUCCUUUAAGACUGUCCUCUUUUUGUGGUAGUUUUUCUUUUAAAUAGUCUCCUCCUUUACUGUGAUUCCUUUAAUGUAUUUAAAUGUUUUCUAUCAUAUCCCCCCGUCUUGUCUUUCCUCCCAGCUAUACAUGUUAAGUUCCUUUAACCUUUCCUUGUAAGUUUUAUCCUGUAAUCCAUGAACCAGUCUAAUAGCCCUUCUCUGAACUCUCUCCAAAGUAUCAAUAUCCUCCUGAAGAUUCGGUCUCCAGUACUGCGCACAAAACUCUAAAUGAGGUCUCACCAGUGUUCUGUACAAUGGUCUCUUUUUCUACUGCUAAUAUCUCUCCCUAUACAGCCAAGCAUGUUAUGCUGCUCUAUUACAUUGUCUUCCUACCUUUAAGUCAUGUGAAAUAAUUACUCCUAAAUCCCUUUCCUCAGAUGUUGAGGUUUGUAGGCUAUCAUAUACGGCUAGUUGGGUAUCAAAUAUGCUCCCUGUAAAUUCCAACAUCAUCUUCAGCUCCUGACGCUUUCUCAGUGUUGUACCCUCAUGCAAGUUACUGAUGGCUAUGGGAAGUGACAAAACUUGACAAAUGUAGCUCUGCCUUUCGUUAAGUGGUGGAAAUAGACAUAGGCAAAGUUUUGUAUUUUAGGAAAAACAGAUCAAAAAAGGGAAAAAUGCGCUAGGCAUGAGGAAGAGAAGAGGAACAAAUUAAAGCAUGGUAAGUUUAAAGUGACCGCUGCUUUAAGAAAUUAUUUUAAAGGAUUAGUUACAUAGCAUUGCUUGACACAAAAAGUUUAAUUUCUUCACACUUCACAAUUCUCACCCACUGCUCACGUAAAAUCGCUCAACCAAUGCCCAGUCUUAUAACUUCUGAUGAAAUAUUUUAUAUAGACUAUCUCUAUAAACACCUGUACUCCAGAGUCUAAUACAAUGCCCGGUGCUUAUCCACAAUAAUACAAAACCAUAUGUUCAAUGACAGCACUCCAGGGACUUCUCAGAAUUGUAGAAAGUUAAAACUUGGCUUUUAUUUACAUAUUGCAAAAAUAAAAUCAACAUUUCAGUUUACCAAUAAACUUUCAUCAGGAUAUAUACAUAUGUAUAAAUUGUUUUUUAAUUUACAAAAUUAACCAAAACUCCCCAUCAUAUAAAGGGGCAGAUUUUUUUUCAUUGCCACAUUCCUCACAUCUACUGCUUGAGUUAUUAUAGAAGAAAAUUGUGUCUAGCCAGAUGGUGGACGAUCACUACAUUACUUGGUCCUAGUGUAGUGAUCGAGACAAAGAGUAGAUGGAAGGGGACUUAGAUCAAGAUUUUUUUUAAUUACUGCAAAACAACUUUACAUGUCCUCUGUCUCAAUGUUGAUAUGAAAAUGUAUUGUGUGUGUGCUUGAAUGAAGUACAACCUUAAAGGAACAAAUGUGUAUUAGCAAUGCUAUAGUGUCCUCUAUCCAAUUUAGAUUACCUGUCUCCCCACUCUGUAUAAAAGGGUAGUUUACAAGCCUUUUCUCCCACACUGCAGUGCUGUCUCCGUGGCUGUUUCCCCUCUCCAUGGCUGAGAUCAUCAAGGAAUGCAUUGGGAGGCUAUUGUACAUGUGCAGCAAAAUGCCAUGCUGUGCCAAUCAGAUGGUCACUAGGAGACGAUCUGAUUGAAAUAGUCUAGUUUUACUCUAUAUCUGCGGAUGAGCCUCUGGUGGCUGUCAAAAUUAGACAUUUAAGUUUUCAUGCAAAACUGCAUUUUCAAUGUUGAAAUCAUGGUCAUUAUGUUUUACUGCUCUAAUACACUCAUAUUUGUGUUAAAUGAUAUCCAACAAGUACAACAGGAACACUCUUAUAGAGGGUUUAUGGGUUUUUGAAAAUUACAGGGUCAAAUAUAGGGCUUGCAAAUUAAAUUCUCUGGCACAUGUGCCUGGGUUAUCAGACAGGUCCCCAAACAUAUAAUUGUAAAUACUUCUAUAUACUUGGAUAAUACAGGCCCCCUGCAACCAUUCCUACCAAUCAAAGCUGAUCAGAGUCAUGUGGUUAGUGUUACUUUUUUUUUUUUUUUGAAGUUUAUGCAUUUGAAAAAUACUUUUUCUCAUGGGUAAUCUUUGCCCACAGAAGGGCAAACUGCAGAUUUGGACAGAGGAGAACAAAAUCAAGGCUCCCAGAUAUUGAGACCUAGCACAUGGAAGAAAAGAUCCAUUUAUUAUUUAUAUAGCGCCAUCAGACUCCGUAGCGCUGUACAAUGGGUAGACUAACAGACAUGCAAUUGUAACCAGACAACUGGACGUACGGCAACAGAGGGGUGGAGGGCCCUGCUCCAUGAGCUUACAUUCUAGAGGGAGUGGGGUAUAGUGACACAAAGGGUAAAAAUAGGGGUACAAAGUAGGUUGUUAGAAGAGUAUUAAGUGAGGGCUUAGUAGGUAAUUUUUGAUAGUUGCAGGAGAGGAGUCAUGGAGGGUGGGGAAUGAAAACCUGCUAACAGUUUAAUUGACAUGCUUUCUUGAAGUGAGUUUUCAAUGAUUUUUUUGAAUGAGUGGAGACUGGGUGAAAUUCUUAAGGAGAAGGGAAGGGAGUUCCAAAGAAGAGGUGCAGCCCUGGAAAAGUCUUGGAGGCAAGCGUUAGAGGUGGGAGUACGGACAGAGGAUAUACGUAGGUCUUUGGCAGAGCGUAGGGGCCUCGACGGGACAUACUUGUGUAUUAGGGAGGAUAGGUAAGUUGGAGCAGCAUUAUGUAGGGACUUGUAAGCAAGCACCAGAAUUUUAAAUUGAGCCCUAUAUCUAACUGGAAGCCAAUGCAGAGACUGACAGAGCGGGGAGGUGUAAGAGGUGCGGGCGGACAGGAAAAUGAGCCGCUCCACCGCAUUCAUUAUAGAUUGCAGCGGUGCAAUCUGGGAACACGUAAGACCACUGAGAAGAGUAUUGCAGUAGUCUAGGCGAGAGAGAACAAGAGCAUGGGCCAGCACAUUAGCCGCAUCCGGGGUUAAAUAGGGGCGGAUGCGCGCUAUGUUUUUGAGAUGGAAGCGACAGGAUUUGACAAUUAAUUGGACAUGAGGGGUGAAGGAGAGGUUGGAGUCAAAAAUAACACCCAGGCAGCGAGCCUGCGAGGUAGAGGUGAUGGUAGCGCUGUUGACUUGGAGGGAGACGGACACAGGAGUAGUAACACUUGAGGGAGGAAAGACCAGAAGUUCUGUUUUGGACAGGUUGAGUUUAAGGAAGUGAGCAGCCAUCCAUUUGGAAAUCGAAGAGAGGCAGAGAGAGGUCAGGAGAGGACAGGUAGUUUUGCGUGUCAUCCGCAUAGAAAUAACAGAAGCCAAAUGAGCUGAUGAGUUUACCAAGGGAGGCAGCGUAGAUGGAGAACAGUAGUGGACCAAGGACAGAACCUUGGGAGACGCCAACAGAGAGUGGUUGGGGGUAAGAGGCAGAGUCCGAGAAAGAAACACUGAAAGAGCGCUGGGAGAGGUAGGAGGAGCACCAGGAGAGAGCAGUAUCCCGUAGACCAAAAUUACGGAGAAGAUGAUGAUCAACAGUGUCAAAGGCAGCAGAAAGAUCAAGGAGAAUUAGGAUAGAGUAAUGGCCGCGAGAUUUAGCAGCAGUUAGAUCGUUGGAUACUUUGGUCACAGCCGUUUCGACCGAAUGACCAGCGCGGAAUCCAGACUGAAGGGGGUCAAGCAGAGAGUUGGUUUUGAGAAAGUCAGUCAGUCUGGUGUACACAACUCUCUCUCGAGGAUCUUGGAGGCAAAUGGCACUAGUGAGAUAGGGCAGUAGUUGGAUGGGGAGUUGGGGUCAAGGCAGGGCUUUUUCAGAAUUGGGGUUAUAAUUGCAUGUUUGAAGGGUGAGGGAAAUGUGCCAGAGGAAAGGGAGAGAUUGAAAAUGUUAGUGAGGGGAAGAGCAAGAGAGGGAGACAUAGUGCGGAUGAGAUAUGAAGGAAUAGGAUCGAGGGAACAGGUGGUGGGGCGGGAGGACCGGAGCAGAGCAGAAACCUCUUCUGCUGUAGCAGGUGUGAAUGAGUGUAGAGUGGUGGAGGGAGUGGGGUUGGGUGAUGUAAUGGUAGGGGAAGGAGAGAAAUUUAAAUAAAGGUAAGUGGCGAAGAGUAAAAUAUUUAAAGGACUACUAAAGGCAUUCAGACCACAUAAUCACAAUGAAGUCGUCUGGGUGCCUUUAGUAGUCAUUUAGCUUUAUCCCUGCAAUGUAAAACUUUGCCGUUUAGUAGAUCCGGCAAUGCAUACCUUGCAGGGAUAUAAAUAUGCUUCUAGUGGCUGCCUACUUGACAACACCACUUCUGCUGUGAUUAGAGUCAAACAUGAUUCUCAUCAUUUUAUUGCUAAUCACCAUUUCAUUGGAGAAGUACAGCUCUGGCUGUGCAUAUGCUUUUUGUCUCCAACCAACCCUUCUCUAUGAGUAGCAUUGGAUUGGACGAAAAAGAAGCUUCAUUGUGAUAUUGUUGGAGGCGGAUUAUAUUGUUGGAGGCGGAUCGAGCGACUGCAAUGAAUGUAUCUUGGGGCUUGGACAUUUUGACGCUUCGUUUUGAUUUGGCGUAGUUGAAUCUAAAUAAAGAGAACACUAGCGUUCAGAAUACAGGUUUGUUGCAAUGCUGUAAUGUUCCUUUAAAACACGAGGGACAAGGAAAGGAAAACUGAAAGAGAAAUAACAUGACAGAGCUGCUUUAAAAUGCUCUUAUAGUGGCUUUCUGAAUGUCACAAAGGUGCUAUAGCUCACCCUUAUCUUUGUGGUUACAGAUUGAAAUGUCUGAACCCCCAUUUGCACUGCAGCACAUAUCCAAGGACUCGGAACAGCAAUAUUUAUUCAGGUAAAUAAAUUUGGUGAUCACAUUCUAUUAUUUCAUAAGAUGGCGUUCUUACAGCAAUAUACCCACUUAAAAAGCAUGGUGCACAGGUUGGUCAGUGUCAAAGUGCAAAGUGCUGCAGACUUAAGUGUUUUGAUGAUCAUGCAAUUCUGAGACUGUCUGCCUGCCUAUGAUGCAGAAUGUUGGCUUCCAGUUCUGUGGAUAAGGUAAUUUAGCGUUUUUGAAUCUGCAUAAUGAUGUGUUGGGGAUAGGACGCCAUACUUCUUCUUUAAAUUAUUUAGAGAUCAUCGGUUCUUAGCAAUUUGUUAAUAAAGACAGCUUUUUAAUGUCAUUUUAUAAGCACUAUUAGCUCAGUGUACCACAUCAUAAAAUGGUAACAAAAUAUCAAGACUAUGGUUUUUUACAGGUGACUGCAGUGUAUAUAUACCAUAAAUUGAGCAUAUCUGAGUACAUGUAAUAUAUUGGUCAUACAUGUCUGUGGGCUGUGAGUCUAUGAGGGGGGGUUGGUUAAAGAAACCACAUGUGUUGAGCAGUAAGAGCCUCCCUUUUAAGGGGUUGGCCAGCUGUGUCCUGCCACCUCCUUUUCUCCACUCCCCCACCCCCUCUAUAGCCGCUGGUGUCCUGGCCUCCUCUCCUUUGGUUGUGCAUGGAGGGAGACGUAGCCAGCCGCAUUCCUGGAGGCUGAGGGAUGUGCAAAAAACCAGUGGAAAAUUCCAGCCCUGCAGCCCGGGAGAGAGGGAGUGAGAGAGUGAGGAGAGGAGGGGGGAAGUAGGAUUUGGACGCUGAAAAGAGAUUGAACAACAUGCUAUUCCUCUCUCUCCCCCCAUCUGUGCUCUGUUACAUGCUGAGGGUUGGCACUGCCAGGUCCCCUGCCUGCUGCUAACUGCUGCCUCUCAAGCUCCUCUUUCAGUAUCUCUCACCCUCCCUCUCUUCCUUAAUGUGUCGAUUUUUGCUUUACCCAUUCCCAAGUCUGCUUCAAAACUAGUCCCAUCUUUGUGUGUGUGUGUUUUUCCUUUCUUCACCUUACCCCUUUCAUCUCUUUGGUUUUCUCUAGAACCCCCUCAUUUUUGUGCACUGACUCUCUAUUUUUCCCGAUGCACAUUACCAGUUUCUGUGAACUGUUCAUCCUGCCCAGUGUCCUAUAAUUCUGUGUGUAUGUAUUUUCUGUAAUGUUUUUAUAGUUUCUGUAUAAUUUCUCUAUGCAUGCAAUAUGCCACUGUGCUUGUUAACUCUCUCUCCCCCCCCUUUUUCCCUACUCCAAUCAUUUCCAUUUCUGCUUUAACAGUCCUUGACUUAUCUCUCUCUUCUCACUUCUGCACUCCUGUUUUCAAUCCUCCCUUCCCUUCCAGAGCUUCCCUUUCUGGUGUGUGCAAUAUUCUUUUUCCUGCAUUUUGUUCAUUACUGCCUGAGCUGUCUCCUUUUUUUUUUUUUCUUUCAGCUCUUUCUGCUUUUCUUGCUCUUUUCUCUUUGUGCUCUCUCUGCACUUUUCCCAUUCUGCUUUCCCUGCACUCAGCUUUUCUCUGCUGCGCUUACUCUCUGUGUUUUUUUUUUCUUUCAUCACACUUUUUAGCUUUCCCAUCUCCCUCUUCUGUUAUGCUUUCACAUAUUUCUUUCCCAUACUUGUCUUGUUUCUAUCUACUUUAGAAACUGCUUCAACUCUCCCCUGUUGCUCCCUCAUUCCUAAUCUCCCUUUCUCCUUUUUUCUGUCGCUUUGCUUUUAUUUAUUUUUCAUGGUUUUCCUUCCAGUUUUGUUACCCUAUUCCUAUGUAUGUUUACUUUUUAUAUAUAUAUAUAUAUAUAUAUAUAUAUAUAUAUAUAUAUAUAUAUAUAUAUAUAUAUAUCCCUUUCAUGGCUUUUUAUAUUUUCCCUCUCAUUUCAGUAUACUUCUUACCUUCUUUGCUGAAGUCUCAUCAGUACUGUUUGUUAGAGAAUUAAUUUAUUGUGCCUCCACAUUACUUUAGCCAUUCUCCAAGUGUUAGCGCGAUACGAUUUACAUGGGAGUUCUGAUAAAUUAUUCCAGACUGUGUCACUGUCUGAGCAAGCUGUUGAUCAUUGCCGUAAAAUGUUUUUUUUUGCAUUGUAUUUCUCCUCUUGCAUGGUAACCAAUAGGGUUAAGCAAAUAGCUGCCAUGUGGCUUUUUGCCCCAUAUGGAUGCAUGCUCCACUGACAGGAAGUGUUUAUUUGGAAUCCCCACCCUGUAAACAGUGUCAGGAAGGGCAGGAAUAACAGCAGCUUUGUAUCCAAUGUCUGUCUCCUUCUAUCCAGCUCCCACAGCCGGAGGGAUACCUUCGCACCCCAUGAUUACAUAAUCUUCUUGUUUGUCCUGUGUGCUGAGUCUUGUCUACUCUUCGUUUAGUUCUCAUACUGAUAUAAAUGCUUAUUCAGAUGAUGAGGGGAAUGAACGCAUGCUCACACUAUAGCUGGUAGGAAUGGCUGCACAUACCAUAAUUCCAUACUGUGUUCCCCUACCACCUGUCUAGUGGAGGGACAUACUACGUUUCCUAUAUCCUUCAUUGUCCUCAGGGUUGUAUGUCACAGAGGAAAUGAUACCAGCACCUCUGCACCUCCCCCCUUCCUUUCUCAUGUCAGGUCCCACACAAUGCUGCUCCUGUGAGUUGAGAGCAGAACUGAGACAGGGAGCAGUGUCCUGCCAGGUGUGUGCUGAUGGAGGGGUUGGGGAGGAGGUGGAGAGCAGCCAUUCCCACAGCUGGGAAAGAAUUUAGACCCUUUCCUCCCCAAUCACUGCCCUUUAACCCUUUACUUCAGAUUUAUUUUGAAGUUGUGCAUAGAUGCUAGGUUUUACUCAUUAGAAUAGUAGAGAGGAAACAUCAAGUUGUUUAAUGAUGCUUCCUAUUUGCACGAGAAUAGUCCAUUUACUGCUAUUUGUAUUUGUUCAACUACAAAAUUAUAAUUUGUUAUUAAAGGCAUGUUAGCUACUUAAGAAAAAAAAAAAAAGGAGCAGAAAUUAAAGAUUCAAAUUCCAAUUGAUGUGAUUCCAUGAUAAUCACCGUAUUUACGUGUUUACUGAAUGGUUCCAGCAGUAAAUGACCAAUAGGCUUUCAUCAUAAUUGUUUUUUAUGUAUGCGUGCAUUCAUACACAACCCAUUUAGGUAUCAAUCAUUGGUUUUCAUGUAUAAAAUAUGUAGGCUUCACAUUUUAAUAGCUAUAAAACGCCCGCUAAUUGCCUAGCGCUGUACAAUAGGUGGCCUAACAGACAAGUAUUUUCAGCAAGACGAGUUGGACGCACAGGAACAGUGUGUGUAGAGGGCCCUGCUUAACCCCUUAAGGGGUUAAAAAAAUUGCAUUUUAGAGGGAGUGGAAAAAAGAGCGCAGGGGCCUGGACAGGACAUACUUGUGUAUUCGGGAGGAUAGGUAUGAGCAAUGUUCUGUAGAGACUUGUAAGCAAGUAACAGAAUUUUAAAUCGAGCCCUAAAUCUUAUAGGAAGCCAAUAUAAGGACUGACCGGGGGAGAUGCUGGUGGACUGAAAGAUGAGCCUCACCACCACCUUCAUUAUCAACUGUAACGGGGGUAAGCUGGGAACAUGUAAGAUCACUGAGAAGCAUGAUGCAGUAAUGGAGGCGAGAGGUGAUGGCUGCAUGGACCAGCACCGUAGCCGCAUCCGGUGUUAGAUGGGGCAGAUGCCAACUAUGUUUUUGAAAUGGAAGCGACAGGAUUUGGCAAGUGACUUGACAUAAGGGGUGUAGGAGAGAGGUUGGAGUCAAGGAGAAAACCCAGACAGCGAGCCAGCGAUGUAGAACAGUUAAAUGUAUUAUUUGCAUGUUAUGUAUUUAGUUCAUUCCAGUAAAUACUUAUUUAUAUGGUUCUGUGAAAUAGCAAGCAAAAAUGUAUGCAAGCUCUUUGCUAGUGGAAUUGGACAGCAGGCCCUUCAAGUUGGAGUAAUGCUUAAUUCUUCCACUAUUUGUGCAUAUGUUUACUUUGUCAUUAAGUAUGUGACUUAUAGAUUUGUAUAUUGAAAAGACAAUAUUACAAUGAAUCUUAGGGAAUUGAAAAUGAAAUUGCUACGUUUAAGGCCAAAAUAAAAUACCUUAAAAUAGCUGUAAUCACAACUGUUGUUUGAAUUUAGUGUUUAGUGGACAACUUCUUUAGGAAUGCUGCUAUAGUGGCAUUUUGGCUCUAUCACACUCUAUAACAUUCAUUGUCCUCUGGGCACAGGUGUUUUUAUGCUAGAUGACUUUGCAGCUUCUUGGAAGCCUGGCCUAUUUUUUCUUUUUUUGACCUUCUAUUUUGCCACUCAGCCAUUUUCUAGGCUGAUGUAGUCCACACUGGACCAGCACUGCAAAAUGUCUGUCUUAUCUACUCUGCUGUGACAAGUUGGGCAGCAAGUAUACUUACCUGCUACAAUGGACAUCCAAUGCUUUUCACCUAGCAAAAUUUCAGUGUGGAUGUUGCUUCGAAUGGGGAUGCAUACACCUUCACAGUACCAAUCUCGCUUUAUGGACUCUGAAUAUCCUACAUUUAUGUGUGUUUUUUUUUUUUUUUACAUGCACAGGGCUCUUAUUUCCCCUCUCUGUUAUUUACUACAUUGUACAAAAACACAGCUUGAAAGUGUUCUGCUUUGUUACACAUCCAUAGAAUUUUCCAUCAUUCUGCCCAGCAGCCUCCUAAUGGAAGAAUCCAAGGCCAAUUCUGAUAUAUUGUAGAACUACAAUCUAAUCCGUACUAUUUAAUCCUUGCAGGGGAAGGGCUGGUUACAUUUGGUAUGGGGACAACUGCAAAUAUAUUUUUUAAUUUGAGUUAAAACCAGCACACUAAAUUCUUUUUUUCUUAAUUUUAUAUUCACUAAUUUAUACAAAUUCUGCAGCAACUGUCAUAUAAUAACAUAGCACAAUAUCAAAUAUAUAUUGUAACUAUGAUGCAGCAAUAUGCAAACCCCUCUAUACUAGUGGUCUGAGGGCAAGUGUCCCCAUUGCCAGUCUUUCCCUGAAUCCAUGUAUGCUUUCCUCUCAGCAAAACAUCCACAUGGAUGCUGCUGGUAAUAAAGAGCUGCAGCAACCCCUCUUACGAAGGGAAUACAUACUCCUUCACAAUACUGGUCUGGACAUACGGUGUGUGAGUUUCCUACAUUUUUUUUUUCUGUAAUGCAUUGGGCUUACAUUGCCUAUUACUAAAAUACUAAUGGCUGUUUUAUUCUAGCUAUGGUGGAAACAGAAUUAUAGAAUCAUUUUGUUUUGGUUAUUGAAUUUAACUGGUGACAAACAUUUGAGCAUUUGUAAAUUUAAAUAGUGUGUGGAUGCAUCAAUUAUUGGGGGAGUAGCUGAAUAUUUUUAAAGUGGCUCUGUCACCCCUCAAAAAAAAAAAAGCUUUUAAAAAUACUCAUAAAGACAGUGUUGGAAUUUCAUUGUCUUGUAAUAACUUUUGACUGUGUUAGAAAUUCAAAGUAAGGGAAUACUUUGUCCUAUGUAUUUUUCCUCUGCUUGACACAACUUGUCAAAAGGAGCUGCUGCUGCUAUUGGCUUUUGUCAAUUCCCCCAGCUGUCGUUGGUGACAGCUGUGGAAGGACAUUGUCUUGCGCAUCGCAAGACUGUUUAUAAUUUUUCCAUGUCUAUAUGGGAUCCACAAUAGAUAUUGGUGUACUUUUGCGCAUGCUCAAGUGUGCAGCACUAAUAUUCAUAAUUUUUUUUCAUUGUUAAAGGAUUACUCAAUGAACCAUAACUUAAUGGUGCUUAAAGUACUUUGCUUCCAUCCCAGAAUAUAACUGAAUCAACUUGUAAAAUACAUGGUUAGUGGCUUAAGAGCCAUCUGCACACAGCUUAGUAAAAAAAAAAAAAAACACAAACGCAUUUCCUGCAAUCGUUUGAGGAGUGGAUUUGUAGUUUGGUGAGAUAGUUAUAAAUACUAAACACAAAAGUAGGGAUAGACCGAUAUUGAUUUUUUUUAGAGCUGAUACCGAUACCGAUAUUCUGUGAACUUUCAGGCCGAUAGCAGAUAUAAUUUGCCGAUAUUCUGUACAUUUACCAUUUUGGAAAAUAAAAACUAAUUCUAAAGGUAAAUACACAAAAUAUACAUGCCACGUGUAGUGGAUGCAGUGCGUUUAGACAGGGGAGCUGUCUGUGUUUGUGUAGUGGAUGCAGUGUGUGUUUGUGUAGUGUGUGUGUGUAGUGGAUGCAGUGUGUGUUUGUGUAGUGUGUGUGUGUAGUGGAUGCAGUGUGUGUUUGUGUAGUGUGUGUGUGUAGUGGAUGCAGUGUGUGUUUGUGUAGUGUGUGUGUAGUGGAUGCAGUGUGUGUUUGUGUAGUGUGUGUGUGUAGUGGAUGCAGUGUUUGUGUGUGUGUGUGUGUGUAGUGGAUGCAGUGUGCGUUUGUGUAGUGUGUGUGUAGUGGAUGCAGUGUGUGUUUGUGUAGUGUGUGUGUGUGUGUAGUGGAUGCAGUGUGUGUUUGUGUAGUGUGUGUGUAGUGGAUGCAGUGUGUGUUUGUGUAGUGUGUGUGUAGUGGAUGCAGUGUGUGUUUGUGUAGUGUGUGUGUAGUGGAUGCAAUGUGUGUUUGUGUAGUGUGUGUGUAGUGGAUGCAGUGUGUGUUUGUGUAGUGUGUGUGUAGUGGAUGCAGUGUGUGUUUGUGUAGUGUGUGUGUCUAGUGGAUGCAGUGUGUCUUUGUCUAGUGUGUGUAAAGUGAAUGCAGUAUAUACUAAAUGCAAAGUGUUUGUGUAGUGUGUGUGUGUAUAUAUAAUGCAGAGUGUGUGUGUGUGUAUAUAAUGCAGUGUGUGUGUGUAGUGUGUGUGUAGUGUGCAUUAUAUAAACACACUAUGCAAACACACACUGCAUUAUAUAGACACUACACACAUUUCAUUAUAUAUGCACACUACACAAACACUGCAUUAUAUAUGCACACUACACAAACACUGCAUUAUAUACGCACAAUACACAAACACACUGCAUUAUGUACACAGUGUGUUUGUAUAGUGUGUGUGCAUAUAAUGCAGUGUGUUUGUGUAGUGUGCAUUAUAUAAACACACUAUGCAAACACACACUGCAUUAUAUGCACACUGCACACACUGCAUUAUACGCACACUGCACACACUGCAUUAUAUACGCACACGACGCACACACUGCAUUAUAUACGCACACGACGCACACACUGCAUUAUAUACGCACACUACACAAACACUGCAUUAUACACGCACACUGCACAAACACUGCAUUAUACACGCACACUACACAAAUACACACACUACACACACACACACACACACUACACAAAUACACAUACUACACAAACAUACUGCAUUAUAUACACACACUACACAAACAUACUGCAUUAUAUACACACACUACACAAACACACUGCAUUAUAUACACAGUGUGUUUGUGUAGUGUGUGUGUAUAUAAUGCAGAGUGUGUGUUUGUAUAGUGUGUGUGUGUAUAUAAUGCAGUGUUUCUGUAGUGUGCAUUAUAUAAACACACUACACAAACACUGCAUUAUAUACACACACUAUACAAACACACGCUCUGCAUUAUAUACACAGUGUGUUUGUGUAGUGUAUGUGUAUAUAAUGGAGUGUGUGUGGGCAUUUUUUAAAUUAAAUUAUUUAUUUUUCAUAUUUAUUAAUUAUUUGUUUUUGUUGUCCCCCUCCCUGUUUCAUACUUGGCCAGGGAGGGGUGAUCCAGUGGCAUUGGCUGAGCUGUGGGGGGUCUCACGAGAGUUACACUGGGGAGCAGGAGGGAGGUGAGUAAACACUUGCUGCCCACCCCCUCCCAGGACCGCCGGGCUUGUAAUGAGCCUGGCGGUCCUAGGAGGUAUUAUCGGCAAUAUCGGUAUCUGAAUUGGCAGAUACCGAUAUUGCCGAAAAUACCAAAUAUCGGCCAAUUAUAUUGGUAAAAUCGAUAAUCGGUCGAUCCCUACACAUAAGCCUCCUGAUUAGUGGAGCCUCUUCUUUUUUACACUAUAUUUGUAGAAGCAGCGUAAACUAGGAAGGAGAGUAUCUAAAUGUACUGUUUUUUUGUUUCUCCCCUAAUUUUGAGUGCAUUACCUAUAUAACAUUGUACAGCGCUACAAAAUUUGUUGGUGCUAUCUAAAUAAUAAAAUAACAGUUUAAAGGGAUUCUUUAUAGUAAAAUUGAUAUUUUUAGUAAGAUAUAAUUGUAGAACAACACCCAAUUAGACAGUUGUUGAGCAAUUUAUUUCAUGGCUCAAUGCUUCCAAUUUUUUUUUAACUUUCCUCGUAUUGUCUCCUCUUUCCAUAUUCUGUUUGGUGCUAAAAUAACUAUAUCCAUAUUGUCCUAAUUUUUUUUUAAUAGGGAAGCCAUAUAUAAUUUAUAAGCAAAGACUGUCUAUAUUCUCUUAAAGGAGUGAUAGAAUAGGGCCUAUAGGAUGUAACUGUGUGCAGUGACCUAGCUAUCUGUUUAGAUUUAUUUAGACUGGAAAGCUGUACAAAUACCCAUGAGAUCCACAUCAGGUUAUACUGUCCUGUUCUAUAAUUGUGCAGACUCGCAUCAGCUAGGCAUUUAGAAAAGAAGUUGUGAGAGAAGGCUUUGGUGGGCUUUAAUUGUUCAUUUGAACACAGGAGCGAACCUCAGAAAGCUGGGGCCAGGCAAAAUUAUCAUUUCUAUCGAAGUAUUGACACACUGUUUUUUGUUUGUUUCUCUACCACAACCCCCCUACUACAUUUUAUUUUAAAAGGUUUUUUUUUGGAAUUGUUUCUCUUGGUAAUAUAAGAACACACUCACACUCCAUUUACUAGCAUGUCUCUUUAAACUGUUGUCCUUCACCCCCCUUGUGCUCUUCCCUCAGAAGUGUGCUGCCUAGUGGAGAAAUUUUGUACUACAAUGUAAAACACAAUCUCCCACUAUGCAGGAAAUGAGUGGUGAUGUGAUAGGACUUAAAUGAGCCAUAAGAUGCUGUUUAUAUAUAGGUGACUCAAAAAUUGCAAUCUAAUUUUUGGUAGUCAAGGAUGUCCACCAUUUAUCAAACUUCCUCCUAUGUGUCAGCAAGUGAUACUACAGUGAUACACAUAGGGGGGUAUGUUUGUUAAAUGGUUGACAUCCUUGACUGCCAAAAAUUGUUGCAUAUGUAUGUGUUUUAUUUCCUAACCUUUUUCCAACAGGAGCCAGUAGUAGAUAUGUAUUCUAUUUUAUACAAGCUUUUGUGAAUUUAUCAAAUUAAACCUGGUUUGAAGACUUUGCACACUGUGCCCCAGAACCAUUUCAUGUUCUUGUAGAGAACGAUCCAUUGGCAAUAUUUAGGUAUUAUUUAUAGCCACAUUAUUAGGAAUGUACUGAAAGCCGAGCUUUCACCAUGCAUGUUUUAGGUUCAGUAGACUGAUGAUCACUUCUUUGAUUUGGUUUUAAAAUGUAAUUCUUAUUUUAAAUAAGAUUAACAAUAUAAAGGAGCUGUGAUGGCCACUGGCUUUUUCAACAGGCAUCUGUGAUAGUUUGGAUGUUUUUUAAAGUACAUUUUCUGUAUAACGCAUAGUUAGCAAUUCCGAAUACAGAAAACAGUUUCAAAGGUAGGGGUUCUAUUCCACAGGAGUGCAGUGUUGGCUGACAGUGGCGUAUUUAAUGUUAGGGUUGAAAAGUAUUUGUAGAAUUUGCCAGAGUUUAGUGCCAAGGAAGAAAUACUCAGUUUCAUAAAUAUACAGCAAUGAUGUUGUUCUGAGACUUGUCUCUCUGGCUGUUGCGUUUGUCAAACACAAAUGCUGUGCUCUCAGGCCUUUUUGGAUCUCUGGAAUUUGAUUUUUGGGCAGGGGGGUUUCCUAAAAUAGCUAGUCUUUGUUUUAAUCCGGCUCAGUCUGGUCAUUGGCCUGGCAUGGCCACUGAACUGCUUCCUCCUCUAGCCCUGGUAAAGGUCUUAUCACCUCUGCAUGUUUAUUUGGCUCCAAAGCUCCUUACCUCCUCCCCCUCCUCCUUCCUGCACACACCAAGAUCACUAAGGGCAUAUGGUGUGGAAUUUAAAUCCCCAUAGGGAGCACUGCAGUGUGACAGUGUAACCCCUUUCUUUCCAGAGAGCAGAUACUUCAGAGUUUAACUCAUUGCCAGACAGCCCAAUAGAUAAUGGCAGCAUAACCUUCUCUCUCCCACUCUACCCCCUCCCCCUUGCUUCCCUCCUGUGUGCCUGUGUGGUUAUUCCUGGUCUGUCUCAGAUGUUGGAAAGAGGUGAUAAUGUCUUGGCGGAUCUGUCUCCCUCCCUCUGCUCUUCCUCUCCCACACUCACCCCCUUCCACAAACCUCUCUCUUCGCUCUGUUUAUUCUCUCCUGUGUCUCUCUCUCUCUCUCUUGCUAAACACCCCCUAGCCCGGUUUUUAUUUUCUCACCAGUCUCCUUUCUUUUAAUCUAUUCGAACUGUAUUCCUUAAUUUAUUUUUCUUUUCCUUCUUGUUUUUUUUUUUUUUUUUUUCAACUAAUCAUUUUUUCUGGUCCUUUUUUUAGUUUCAUAAUUACAUUUUCCUUUUCUGUCUUCCAGUCCCCAAUAUUUUCCUUUUCCCCGUCUCUGCAUUCCCUCCCUGGACAUUGCUUCACAUAUGGUUUGAGAGGGCUAUAUCCUCUCCCCCUCUCCCACGGCUGUUGGCCUGGAAUCCCAGCUCUGCCCUCCUGUGCUCCAGGCCAGAUUAGGAGGGGGUGGAGUGAUGGCCAUGUGGUGCAGGCAGAACAAGCAGGGUGUGUGAUUACUUAAACUUGUUUAUCCCCUCACUGGUCUAUAAUAUAUAUUUAUUUAGUAGUUGGUCCAUGAUAGACUUGUGUAUGCCUCAGCCAGCUUUUCUUAUGUUGAUGUGGUUUGUUGCAUUGUGCUAGGCUAGCAUGAUAUGUUUUGACACUGAAAAUAUUGGCAUUCUGCGUUAGCCCUACAGGUUUGUCAAUAGCGUUUCAGUUCGCCUAGAGUAGGUGCAGUCUCUGAGAUUUAUUACUGGAGCUGAGUGUUUGUGUGUAUGAGUAAGUAAAGAUACAGUUUCACAUGGCCUGAUGCUUGAUAGAGUGCUUCGUAGGAUUAGGGACGGACGGACAUAUAUUUCCAGGUAAGUUGUGAAUUCUGUAAGCAAUGUUGAAAAUUUCAUGUGUGCCAGUCGUGCUGCAUACUAUGUCAGAGGUGUAUAUAGUGUGGUUUAUAUUGCCCAGGGUAUACUCCUCUCUCCUUCCUCUCUCCUUGGCCUUAUCUUCCUACCUCCUAAUCUAACUCUUUCUCUCUCCCUCUUGGCUUUCCAUAAUUACAGGGUGGAACAGAUGUCCCUGGAUCUGUUUCAGAUCCAACAUCCAUUAGAAUAACCUUCAGCACCGUGCUUGGAGGGAGGCAGAUACUUCUAAUGUAUGAUAUUCUGGUACGAAGCGCAUUGUCGGCUGACACCAUCCUGUGUAUCUAUUCCUGUUUUUGGACCUUCAGUAAAUACUGUAAAUUGUUAUCAGAAGAGUGAGUGAUCGCAUUAACCUUUUCUGUAACAGAUGCUAAAGCAUGACUUAUUUUGUGUGUUCCCAAGUGUUACUGAAGUAGUUAAAAAUCCAGCGAGCUUGGAGGAAAAGCAGUGUGGGAAGUCAGCAGGAUACUUGGUUAUAUAGAGAGAUGUUUAUUGGCAGGAGAAAUAGGUAAUAGUACAAUUUUAUAGAUCUUACCUUGUAUAUGGAGCUCACUUCUACAGCACAGGAAAUAUAUAAAGCAAACACAGCCCAAGGAAGGCAGUUUGAAACGGUGUGCAAAUUCAAGGUACAAAUCCCAAAAACUAAAUGGAGCAUAAUUACCAUAUAUAAUAAUACAUAGGGAUUGACUUGUGAACAGAAUUGUGGAAAAUUGGCAGAGCAAUUGCCAAUUUUAGGUGAAAUUGGUUGAAUUUAAAGAAUUCUCUGCCUUUAACUGCUUUUCUAAUUUGGCCUAAAAAUCCCUUGUCGGUUGUAGUCUGUUCCUGUUAGAGAAUAAACACCACCAUCUUCCUUGUCACCAUUGUGUAAACUUACCAUGUUCUUAUCUGUUUGCAUUAUAAGUCUUGUGUGGAUCUAGGGAGCAGAUAUCUUGGUUGUACUAGCACACCUAAUGUAAGAAGCUACUUAGAUUGUACAAUGAUUUCAAAUCUCACAGAUUGUAAUAGUUUUAUUUAAAAACACCUCACCUAGGCAAAAAUAGUGGGGGUUUAGUUACAUUAUAUGAUCAUAUAUUGCAUAAGCCUGCCACAAUGUCAAUGUAGCCCAUUCUUGGCAGGUCCUAAUCUAGCAGCCUGAUGCCUGCUCUUAUGAGAUUAAUCCACUUACUUGGGAACUACUUCCUCCUGGGACUCUCUGCAGGUCAAGGCUAAAUAGGAUCCUGGAAUGAGGGAGGGGUGCAAAAAAUGUAUAUUAUGUAUACCGUAUUUAUCGGUGUAUAACACGCACCGGCGUAUAACACGCACCUCAUUUUAAGAAAGAAAGAAAUUUCAGGAAAAAAAAACUUAAAUUUCAAAUAAAGAACUUCUUACCCCCCUUUCUUACUCUCCCUACCCCCCUUUCUUACUCCCCCUACCUCCCUCCCCCUUCUUCUUACCCCCCUUCAUACUCCCCCCCUCCCUUCCCCCUCCCCUCUUCUUACUUCCCCCUCACCCCACCCCCUUCUUACUCCCCCUCCCCCUCUUCUUACCCCCCUUUCUUACUCCCCCUCCCCCUCUUACCCCCUUCUUACUCCUCCCUCCCUCUUCUUACCCCCUUUCUUACUCCUCCCCCUACCUCCCUCCCCCUUCUUCUUACCCCUUCUUGCUCCCCCUCCCCCCCUCUUCUUGCCCCUUUCUUGCUCCCCUCCCCCUCUCUUCUUGCUUCCCCUCUUGCCCCUUCUUGCCCCUUUUCUUACUCCCCCCUCUGUUCCCUCCUCUUCUCCUUUCUUACUCCCCCCCUCCACCUCUUCUUACUUCCCCCCCUCUUACCCUUCUUCUCCCCCUCACCUCUUCUUGUCUUACACCCCUCCCUACCUCCCUCCCCCCUCUUCUUACCCCCCCCUUUCUUAUUCCCCUUCUUACCCCCCUCCCCUCUGUUGCCUUCUUGCCCCCUCUUCUUGCUCCCCCCCUUCUUUCCUCUUGCUGUCAGCGGUGCAUCCAUUGAUGAUAGGAAGGUGCACGCUCAGUGUGCACCUUCCUGUCAGUCCGACCAGGUACAGGAAACAGAAACUCCUGUUCCGCGCAGAACAGGAGUUUCUGUUUCCUGUACCCGGUCGGACUGACAGGAAGGUGCACGCUGAGCGUGCACCUUCCUAUCACUCCGGCCGGGCACCGCGGACAGCAGAGCAGCUCGGCCACGCUACAGGAGAGGUGAGAACCAACUGCAGCCGCCUGACCGCUCUUGACAGAGCGCUCAGGCGGCUGCAGCAUUUAAAGAGCCGGCGUAUAACACGCACCCAUAAUUUGCCCCCUAUUUUCAGGGAGAAAAAGUGCAUGUUAUACGCAGAUAAAUACGGUAUUUAAAAAAAAAAAAAAAAAACAACAAAUAAACCCUAAAAGUGCUUCAUGUGUGAAGAGUAUCCCAUAAUAAUUACGGUUUAUAAAAGUGAUGAUUUUCCCUUCCCCUGGUCAAUCUAACAGCAAGGAGGUGUUCUUCCUGCUUCCGUCAGCUCCCCUGAGCUCUACCUUAGAUCAGACCUCAGAGCAGUCCGAUCAGUAUGCUUCUUAUGCGUCUAAGAGAAACUUCGGAUCGACUUUCCCCAAGAAGAUAAUGCAAGUCUCUUCCUGGAUUAAGGGGAGGGCUUGCCCAUCGGCAUGAAAAAGAAGUUUUUUGGAUUCCAAUAUUGUUGAUAGGGUAAGGCAGUGGCUGAGUGACGGGCAACAGAGGGUUGUAGUCAAUGGAGUAUAUUCGAAGCAUGGGCAUGUCACCAGUAGGGUACCUCAGGGAUCUGUACAUAGACCCAUUCUCUUUAAUAUUUUUAUUAGUGAUAUUGCAGAAGGUCUUGAUAGUAAGGUAUGUCUUUUUGCUGAUGAUACUAAGAUAUGUAACAGGGUUGAUGUUCCAGGAGGGAUAAGCCAAAUGGUAAAUGAUUUAGGUAAACUAUAAAAAUGGUCAGAGUUGUGGCAACUGACAUAUAAUGGAUAAGUGAAGGAAAUAAAUGCAUCUUGGACAUAAAAACCCAAGGGCUGAGUACAGAACAUUUGAUAGUCCUAACCUCAACAUCUGAGGAAAGGGAUUUAGGGGUAAUUAUUUCAGAUGACUUAAAGGUAGGCAGACAAUGUAAUUGAGCAGCAGAAAAUGCUAGCAGAAUGCUUGGUUGUAUAGGGAGAGGUAUUAGCAGUAGAAAGAGGGAAGUGCUCGUGCCAUUGUACCGAACACUGGUGAGCCCUCGCUUGGAGUAUUGUAUGCAGUACUGGAGACCAUAUCUUCAGAAGGAUAUUGAUACUUUGGAGAGAGUUCAGAGAAGGGCUAUUAGACUGGUUCAUCAAUUACAGGAUAAAACUUACAAGGAAAGGUUAAAAGAUCUUAACAUGUAUAGUCUGGAGGAAAGAAGAGACAGGGGGGCUAUUAUAGAAACAUUUAAAUAUAUAAAGGGAAUCACAGUAAAGGAGGAGACUAUAAGAAGAAAAACUACCACAACAGGAGGACAUGUUCUUAAAGGGACACUAUAGUCACCCAGACCACUUCAGCUCCAUGAAGUGGUCUGGGUGCUAGGUCCCCCAGGUUUUAACCCUUCAGGUGUAAACAUAGCAGUUUCUCCGAAACUGCUAUGUUUACAUUGUAGGGUUAAUCCAACCUCUAGUGGCUGUCUUCUUGACUGCCGCUAAAGGCGCUUCUGUGGCGCUGAAUGCGAAAACCUCUUCCAGCGUGCAGAACGUCCAUAGGAAAGCAUUGAGAGAUUGGUUUGGACCAUUGCCAGAGAAGUCAUGCCUCCUCAAUGAUGUUGCAGGAGGUGGAGAGGUGAGCAAUGCCAAGGAAACGGCGCUGGACAAGGGUGAGUAAAACUUUAUUUUUAUUUUUAUUGCAAACGGAAAGGAUACCGACAAUAUUACUACGUAGUAAUCAGGGGCACUAUGGAAAUGUUUGUUUUUCUAAUGCUAUACCUUUCAUUUUAAAGGGGCAGUGUAACCACUGUAACCAGUGCUCCAGCUAAAGUAGAAUUUCCCAUUAUGCUUUAGCAAUGUCAAUUAUUUUGUUUUUACUAUUGGUAAUUAAAUUACCAUUUGGCACCAGAUGUUGUCGACUACAUUCCUCCAUAAUGCUUUUAAAGAACCAGGGAAGAUGUAGUCCACAACAUCUGGAGUGCAAAGGUUGCAUACCACUGUAGUAGAACUAUGUUUUUUAGAAUGCAGCUUUAAGUUGAAAUUUAUAUGCCAUUUCAUUGUUGAGCUGAAUCAGGAUAUCUGAGCCUAGUCUUUUUCAUAGUAAUUACAAUAAACCAAUCACCUUUAAAAUAGUUUUAAUAAUGAUGGGAGAGAAAUUUAAACAAUUCAUAGUUUCUCAUUCUUAAAUUGUAAUUAAUAUUGAGUUCAAAUAAAGAACUGUCCAGUGUAUUUAUCCUAUAUCCAGCAGCUGACAUGCUCUGUCGCAGGAGUCAUUCAGAAUGCUUUGUUGGACAGAACAAAUGCCAUUUGAAUAAGAGAAUACACAUAGAGAAAGGUGUAUUCAUAGGAUUUCAUGAGUGCAGAAUAAAUUUGUUGUGUUUUUUUGUUUUUGUUUUAUAAAACUUUUUGCUGUUUAUGAAAAACAUGUUAACACUGUGCACAAAACCUAUUACUCUUGCACUGUUCAUAGUCUUUAGCUCCAAACCCAUAAAAAAAAAAAACACGAAAUGGUAAGUUUGCUUUAUCCUAAACCUCAAUGUACAUUUUUAAAUGCCAAAGGUCUUUAGUAUCACUUUAUGGCCAUCAUUAAAUGUAAAGUUACUCGCCAAUGUUGAGGCAAACCUUUUAAGGGUGAUGUCUUUGCUUAUUUAAACUGGCUAGUUCCAGCUGAAAAGCUAAAUCUGAGGCAGAAGUGAGUGUUUUUAAAACCAUAGAAACUAGUUAACCUUAAGGAAUUCUCUAGUGUUCGGAUUACUAUUCCUAAUCUGGCCAUCAGGGUAAUCAAUACUAAAUAUUAGCCAUUUAGUCAUCCUAUAAAUAGCCGGAAUGAAAGGUGCUGCCGAGCCACCCUUUGAUUCCAGUUGCUGAAGUAUAGGGACACGCAUAAUGCAACUGCCAUAAGGUGCGAGCAGUGCUUCUUAAAGAAGUAUUGAGACCAAUGCUUCUCUAGGAGAAGCACUCACGCUUUGAACUAGUGACCCAGCUGUCAAGCAAGUGUUGGUUACUAGGGGAAUUCAUAAAAAAAAAAUCAAGAGAAGCCUGCACUUUUAUAAAAUAAAGCAGUGGGGACAUGCAGUUAAAGCGGCACUGUCAUGCCAAACUUACCUUUCCUCAAUCUCUUCCUCUUCUCCCCCUCUCUCAGGAUAUGUUCUUCUUUUCUUCCUAUCUUCUUUAGUUUUCUUUAAAAUCAUAAGACAAAGUAGGGACUCUUUGCCUUAUGGAGGAUUCCUCCGCUUGACCAGCUCUGACCAGCGGAGGAGCAAAGUGUGCUUCAUUUCCGCUGGUCAGAGCAAUUUUCCCAUGAUCCUUACCGUUCCUCUGUGUUCCCCGCGAUGCUUCCUGUCACUUUACACGAAACUGCCGAAUUGCGUUCUAACUGAAUGAGAACAGUAUGUUCGUUUGUUUUAGAACGCAAUUCGGCAUUUUAUUAGGGUCGCAAUUUCAUUCGAAUGAAUGAAACUCCGAUCCUAUUCUUGCUGUGGCUGCACCUUGCAGCCGCUUAGUAGAUAACUCCCUAAUUCCCACGGUAUCAGGGAGCUAUCUACUAAAAGGCUGAAAGACCUAAAUUGGUCUGUCAGCCACAUUUACUAAUACCAAGUAAAAAUUACUUAGUAUUAGUAAAUAUGCCCCUACUCGCUAUACCGCGAGUAGGGGCAUGUCUAGUAAACAGUGAGCAACCUGUGGCUGCUCACUGUAAAAACAAAAAAACAAAAAAACUAUUGGCCCCCAGCCCUAAACGACGGGUGGGGGCCCUAAAGUAAAAUAAGGGGGGAGACCUAAUAUCCCCACCACCUCUGCGUGGUGGGUGGGGGUCAUAAUGAUAAUGGGGGGGACCUACUGUCCACCCCCUUCCAGCCCCCACCCCUGGGCGGCGGUUGGGGGCCAAAUGAUAAUGAGGGGGGGGCCUACUGUCCACCCCCCCUCCAGCCCCCAUCCCUGGGCAGCGGGUGGGGGCCAUAAUGAUAACGAGGGGGGGGGACAUACUGCCCCCCUGGCCCCCACCCCUGGGCGGCGGGUGGGGGCCCUAAGUCAAUUUCCCCCCUCCCCACCAAGGUGACUAGGGGUCCCCAAGCCCCUAGUCACCCACCCAAAUAAAAAGUUCCUACCUACCCCCCUCACCCUAAAAAAUAGUGAGGGGGGAAUAAAAUAACUAACCUGUAAAAUAAAAUUAAACUUACCAUUCAACGUCUUCUUUUUUCUCAAAUCUUCAUUUUUCAGCCCCAAACAAGGCCAAAUAAAAAACCAUCAUAACCGUUGAAUUGAAAAUAAAAUAAAAAUCCCGAGCGCAAAAAAAACCCCCGAAUGGUAUGAUUGUUUUAGAACCAUUUCAUUUAAAGUUUACUUGUCAAGAUAGUUUUCAGCUUUUGGACAAUGAGCUGCAAAGAAUGUUCAAGGUAUAUGUUUGAGUGUUAAGUGUAUGGUUAUAUCUCUGCUUGUGUAUGUGUGUAUCUCUGUAUGUAUAUGUAUCGUUCUGUAUGUGUCUGUCUUGUCCUUUCUGCUGGAUAGACGCUCUAGCGUUGAAAGACUGUUCGGUGACGGUAAGUCUCUGACUGCAGCUAUCUGAAGCCAUUUUAUUUUAUAUAAUUCUAGUAAUUUUAAUUAAUUAAUAAUGGUGUUGUAUUUAGUAACGUGGUUAAAGUUUGUUUUCUAUGACAGGUUGUCAUAGUAAUCUGUAUUUAAGUGUUUUUAUUUAGGUCUUAACAAGUAAAUAUUCUACAUGUGAUUAGCUGAGCCAUAGAUUUUGUAAAAUGUUUUUUUGCUGGCCUGGUCCCUAGUGGUGAAAGUGUACAAUUGCCCUUUUAAUAUGCAUACCUCGCACAUGUGCUUGUUCACACACCCUUUCUGGUCUUCUUGUGUGGAUGCUCACCAUAGGUCCACAGUAUAGAAUAAAAAAAAUAAAAAAUUGAUUCUAGUGUUACAUUGUAGCGAGGAAAAAAGUGUUUAUUUGCUAAAUGCUAAAUUGUAAUAAAUUAGAAAUACAACUAAACCUGUAUUCUAAAAUAUUCAAAUUGUGACUAGAGCUGAGAUGGAGAAUUCUAGAAAAAGAAAACUGAACUGGAAAUAGACUUGCAAAAGUCAAACAAUUUCAUUCAAUGUUUAGUAAUCAAGAGCAAAAUGGUAUAUUCAUAAAAAUUGAAUAUAUAUAUAUAUAUAUAUAUAUAUAUAUUGCUUGAGUGUUGUAGCUACAAAAUGAUAAGCAUUGCGGUUUAUUAUAUUUUUUUUGUGUGGUUUUUUUUUUUUUCUUAGAGAUAAUAAUUUCUAGAAACUUUGUGAUUUAUGUUACCAGCAAGCGUGGAUGUCUGCUACAUUUUUCUAUUGAACUUGCUGAAUGAAGCACAUCCAUUUUGGGAAGUGUUUUUGCUUUAUCUGCCCAGUUUAGCAAAUAGGUGAUUACGUGAAUGACCAGUAGUUUUUCUCCAGUUUCGAUGUCAUUAAAAAAGAAACAAUAAAAAUACAGAACAGAUUGUAUUAAGUACCUUACCUUGCUAGAGCUUUGUUUCAAAAAAAAUAAAAAUUGUGUAUGUAUAAAUUCCUUUUACUGUGUUCCUGUCACUUGACAAAUACAUUUUAUGGCCUCUGCUCGAUCAGUCAAUGCAGAGUGAGUGCUUUCAGCAGAGAUUGCAAGUACUGGGCUGCUAACUCCCCAUGACAUCCUGCCUUUAUCCACCUCCAUUAUGUGGGGGAAAGUGCGUUGCAGAGGUGGAUGCAGGCUGACCUGGCAUCCUCGUUACGUUACCAUAGUAGCCAACGAGAGGAGGAACAUGGAGACCACACUAUACUCGCUGUCUCUUCUAAAUGCGGAGAGUACAAGGCUACCUUGGUCGAGUUCACAGUAGGGCUAAAAAAUGCUUUGCAUUUUCAUUAAAAGACAGAAUUGCUUUGAUUAUAAAUCACAGUAAAGGUAUUGCAAGUACUGAAAAACUACAGAUUAAAUAGAUCUCAAGUGAGUUUAAAUUGCAGGAUAGGCAUCCUUUGUAAGCAAUAUUCUGGCCAAUAGUGACAAUACAAAUGUAGCCAGCCAACCUGGCAUAAAUAUAAGGAGCACUGCAAUACUGAGCUCCUGACUACAAUAACUCACCUAGCAGUGAUUUAAUUCAGUCUAGUCACCGGGGAAACCUGUGGGAUAACUUUUAUUUUUAAUUGUUAGGCAAUUUGGGGAGUGGGAGGGCAGAGGGGGAAUUAUUUUAUUUUUUUGCGGUAAUGUUUGGCCUAAUGAAUUAUGUGGGUGGAGGUGGGAGGGAUUAAAUAUAAGGGGCAUCUGUCUGGAAUAAAGUGUUGCUGUUUUCCUCAAUGUGUAGAAGCACAACUUUAAAAACAAAAUUCACCUGUUAACUUAUAUGUGCCAUUGGUACAGUUAAAAAAUAAAGCAUAUGAUUGUGUAGAUAAUGUCGCUUCUAUGAACUUAUUUUUACAUCAAAUGUUUGUGUGUUUACCGUUUCUACAGCCCUGCAUAAUAUGUUGGAGGUUUUUUUAUAUAGGAAUAUUUUGAUGCUAUAUUUAAUUUAAGCAAAAUAUCUCCAAGUGAAUAUAAGUCACUAAGGGGGGAUGGGGGGGGGUUAUCAAAGAAAACAGGUGAUAUUUUGCAUGAAAAGACAUUGUAUUGGUUUCGGCUGUGAUUGCUCCUUUUUUAUUUGCAUUUUACCUAGAAUAGCACCUGGUUUUUGCCUUCACAAAUAUCUUGACAAAUAUUUCUUAUUUUUCCUAUGUGUUCACCUUAUUUAGACAUCUUUAUUCAAUCUGCAUAAGCAUAUGGUUUAAAACUGAGAUGGCCAUGCUUUAUUGCUUAAAAUAGUGCCAUUAUUUCUACUUAUACCCAGAAAAUAGCUUUGUAUUUUUUUUUAUUUAUUUUUUUAAUGCGGCAUAGGUUAGUAUAGGGAAAAUUCAUUUCUGAGAUUGUUCAAAAUUCUGUUAUGAAUCCUAAGAAAAAGUUAGAUGAGGUAGUCCAAAAUACCCUACAUUUAUAUCUCCCGUGCCUCUAUAAAUUGCUUUGCAAGUUGCAUAUUGCUGUGCUGAUACAAAGCCUCUUUUUGAGCGGAGCAGGUGGGGAGGUUGGCCGUGCCAUGCUGUGUGUGUAAUAAAUGCAUGCUAGAACUGAUGUCUAUAAUGCAUGAUGGAGGAAACCAGGAUUGCACAUUGUUUUACACACUUGGUCUCUAGUAACAGCUGGUGCAUAUAUAAUGCCUUAUUGUGAAACAAGUUAAAUCAGUUCUGUUUGUUUGACUGCCAUCUUUAUCAGCAUGUUCUAGCAUGUAGUCUGGUUUGCAUUUAAUGUGUAUAUAACAUAAUGACCCUGGACAGUCAUCUGCCAUGCAAGGUGUGUGCAUACUAUCUUCCUCUUUAGAUUUUGGAUAGGGCUUCCCAUUAUGGAGUGAACACUGUAUGCUGGAGUGUGAAUGUCUUUACUAUAUGGUUACCUCGUAUUUAUUUUCCUAGAACAUCCAUCUUCCAUUCCACCACCUUUUCUUCUGAAACCUUGAUCAGCUAUUUACAGUUAAACUAAUUUCAAUUGACCCGUUGCAUGUGUGAUUGGUUGUUUAGCUUAUUAUAUUCUAAUGCACUUAAACGAAUUUCCAAUCCAAAGCUUUGAUUGGUUAAUUUGGGAUAUAAUGUUUUUGUAAUUAUACAUGCACGUGGUGAAAAUAUGUAUACAACAUUUUUUUUAUAUAUGUGUGUGCUCCCAUUUGGAUACAUUUAAAUAGCCUGUGUGUCUUUGGCUACAAUUUUGCAGAAUGGACAAAAGGACACAACUGGCUAGGAAAGAGUCUCGUUUACCAAAAACAAAGAUUUUUAAAAUGUGUGAAUUUACAAUCCAUAGUUUUUACAUGCUGACAUAAUUUAUUAUGAGGGUAUUAUGCAAAUGUGAAACAAGAAGAUUUGUAUUCAUUUUGUAAAGUAAUGAAACAAACCAUUUAAAGUGUAAUUUGCAAAGAGCACUGACAUUGACAUAGUUAAUUUAAGUGUGGGGGAAGGUGUAUUAGGAGCCACUAGGUGAUGUCAGUGCAAGUAGUCCCUACUUUGUUUUAGUAUAUCCUUUGACUGGGUUAGAAUUUUUGUGAAAUUCCAACACAAACCAUGCAAGUAUUUUUAUAAAUAUUUUAUCUUUAUGAAAUACUCAUUUUGGAGGGAAAGGUGACCGUGACACUGUCAGUCAUUUAGAGACAAAAGAUUUAUUAUGCGUUGUAUAGUGUUGUGCCAUUACAUAUAUAUUCAGUGUUUUUAAUGUCACACACUGCUCUGUUUUUACUAGUAAAUCAAUCUGCAGAUAUCUAUACUGAUGUUAGCAGAGGGAAUUCUUCAGGGUUAGGGGUAGGCUUAGGGCUAUUUUUUUAUUUUAUUUUUUUUACUUAUUUUUUUUUUCCCCUCUGGAGUCACUAUUGUCUGAUGACCUAACCAUGAGAGCAGUUCUCCACAGGCCGAUAGCAGACUGCAAAUUAGGAGGUAUGCAAUGGAACAUGCAAAAAAUGCUCUGUACUGCAGUUCAAAACACAUAUUUACGUAACAAUAACAAUUUUUUUUUUUUUUUUUGCCAGCCUCGCUUAGCCUCCAUGGCGAUUUUGAAACUUGAUCUUAACAAAUCCAAUGCUAUACCAUAGGAAAGCAUUGAGAGGCUAUUGUGCAUGUAAGGCAAAAAUACCCCACUUCUCCAACCAGCAUCUCCUAAUAUUGCAUUUUACAAAUUUUAAUAUUGAAAUUGAAUCAGUGCAUCUCUAUGGGGAACAUUCAACAUUUCCAUGCAGAGCUGACUCAAGAGGGUCCCACUACUGCCAUAAGAUGGUGUUUCUAGGCAGUAAUGUAAACACUAUUUACGCAGUAUUUAUAUUAAAAAGCCUGCAUGAACAGGCUAUAGAUAUCAGAACUACAUUAAGCUGUAGUUGUCUUGCCGACUAUAGAGUUCCGUGUAAUCUUUGAAGCGUUACACCAACCACUAUGACCACUUCAGUAAUUCAAAAUAGUCAUGCUUGUAGGAGUCUGGAUGUGCAGCGUUUAUGCUUGAAACGCUGCACAUCCAGCAGAGAGAGAACUUUUAUUGGCUGCCCAAUAUCAAAUCUACAAAAAUUAUGUAAGUCAUUGUGCUGGCAACAGAUGUAACAAUCUUCUAUGCAGACAGCGUGCCUGCAAGGAGAAAUUUGCUUGUCCCUUCCUCUUGCCUCCUUCCUAAGGUGAAUGAAAUAUUUAUUUAUUUCUCCUCCCUCCUUUUGCCAACUCAGAGUGAGCACAUGGACUCUGAGCCGGCCAAACUGUCCAAUCUAAUGUUGAUUCAAAGAUAAUGAAUAUCGCACUCUCACCGUGAAAACCAGAUGCAUCAAAGACCGGGUUGGCAAAACGCAAUUUGGUAGAGAUUAGUAGAAAGUGGGUCCAGGCACUCAAGGUUUCUUCAAAAAAGGCAGAUUUAUUGAAAACUGAAUGUGCAAUGUUUUGGCCUUCGUGAACUUGACAAAGGCCUCUGUGAAGGCUGGAACGUUGCAUAUUCAGUUUUCAAUAAAUCUGCCUUUUUUGAAGAAACCUUUAGUGUCUGGACAAACUAUCCAAUCUAGUUGUUUUUGUACUUCUUGAAGUAAGGGACCUAGCUAGGCAUAUUUUUUUAUAAAGGGUUACUGUAACUUUUAAGUAACUUUUAUGUGUUCGUGGCUUUCUAUAGCAGAGGUUUUCCAACUACUGUGAGUAACAUUAUUGAUGAAACCUGAAUUAUGCUAUUCAGCAAACUAAUUACAUUUGUGCUUUCUUUGCUUGUUGAGUAGCUUCGUUCAUGUCCUGAAUGAACUGCUAGUGGCCGCAAAACUAAUUACUCCCUGAAACUUUAUUGAGAAAUUAAUUUAUGGGAAAUAGAUAGACUUUGACUGUCAUUGGCUUCUUGGCCUGAUGUUUUGUUUAGCAAAAGUAGAAAUAUAUAUAUAAAUAUAUAUUUUAAAUUCUGUGUGUGUGUGUGUGUUUAUACACACACACACACUCUCCCCACUCUUGCUACCUUAUCUAGGAUAGAAGCUUUUUAAAUAUUAUUUUUUUUUUUUUUUAAAUGACUGAAGAAUAUGGUCUCUCUUUGGAGCUUGUAACCUUGGUGGCUGUGUCAUACUUCAGCACAUGGGUAGCUGGAAGUGUCUACAAUAGCAGAUGAUCAGAAAGCGGCAAUGACAUAUGUAUCUUUAAAUCCGCUCUUAGCACAAUGUUAACUUUUUACAUUUUUUUAUUUUGAUGUAAUGGGCAGCAAUUUUAAAGUGGAAGCUGAACAUUUAAUGAAGCUUUUCAUUUUAAUGGUAAAGGUAUUGAACAUGUGUAGCUAGCAUCUUUCGAAAAGACAGCCUCCAGGUUUCUCUCUCAUAUUCCUGCUGUAUUCAGCUAACAGUGCAAUAUAGAAAUAGCAAGGAAAGCUUCUUCCUGCUAUGCAGCCAGUAGUCCACUUACCCCACCAAAAUAGCUCCUGGCAGCCAUAGUUCCUUUUAGAAUGUACUCACAUCUGAGGUCCCUCUGAAUGGCCGGCAUGAUCCGGACAUCCAAUGUUUAAUUAGCAUGGUUACCAAGACAACUGCUCAGCUGGGCUAUUGGCUACAUAGCGGGAUACUGCUCUCCUUCCCUCAUCUUGGUGUUGCUUCCAUAACUCUCUACAGCUGGGGAGUGUGAGAUUCCUGGAGGCUGCCUUUUCAUUAGAUGUUGCCCUCUCAUGUUCUGUAUCUGUAAUGUUAAAAAAAAAAAAAAAAAAUUGGGCUGCAAAAUGUGUGUUUUUACCAGCCAGUGGUUUUAACACGACCUGCUUUUUUUUAAAAAAAGCAGAUUUAGGUUUUCCUAAAAAAAAAAGAAAGAAAAUAAGCAGUUGUGGUAUCAUUUUAUAAAAGCGAAAGACUUCAAGUUGAUUGUAAUCGACACUCAGAACAUGCUUGGAAAAAUGUGAAGCUGUAAAUAUGGUAUAAAUCAUGAGGAAAUUUGUAGAAGAUUGCUAGUAUAAUUUUUGAGGAAACCACCUGGUCCCCUUUUUGAUUUUCUACCCAUCAUUUAAUAUACAUGUUCAGUUAUCUAAAGGGUUUAAUUGAACAUAUAAUUACAGAUGGUCCCAGAGUUUUAAGUAAUCAUUCAGCUCUGUACCCCUGUUCUGAAGAUGUUUACUGAUUUGUGUUUCAGGCCACUUAUCUUGCUUUUUGGAUGUACCAGUAAUUCUGACACCUUCCCUCACUGCUACCGCAGAGACAUCACUGGAG